rnacentral:rRNA from 1 species
AGCGGCGGACGGGUGAGUAACGCGUGGGUAACCUGCCCUAUACACACGGAUAACAUACCGAAAGGUAUGCUAAUACGAGAUAAUGUAAGAGAUUCACAUGGAUUUCUUAUCAAAGCUGAGGCGGUAUAGGAUGGACCCGUGUCUGAUUAGCUAGUUGGUAAGGUAACGGCUUACCAAGGCGACGAUCAGUAGCCGACCUGAGAGGGUGAUCGGCCACAUUGGAACUGAGACACGGUCCAAACUCCUACGGGAGGCAGCAGUGGGGAAUAUUGCACAUUGGGCGAAAGCCUGAUGCAGCAACGCCGCGUGAGUGAUGAAGGCCUUCGGGUCGUAAAACUCUGUCCUCAAGGAAGAUAAUGACGGUACUUGAGGAGGAAGCCCCGGCUAACUACGUGCCAGCAGCCGCGGUAAUACGCAGGGGGCUAGCGUUAUCCGGAUUUACUGGGCGUAAAGGGUGCGUAGGUGGUCUCUUAAGUCAGGAGUGAAAGGCUACGGCUUAACCGUAGUAAGCUCUUGAAACUGGGAGACUUGAGUGCAGGAGAGGAAAGUGGAAUUCCUAGUGUAGCGGUGAAAUGCGUAGAUAUUAGGAGGAACACCAGUAGCGCAGGCGGCUUUCUGGACUGUAACUGACACUGAGGCACGAAAGCGUGGGGAGCAAACAGGAUUAGAUACCCUGGUAGUCCACGCCGUAAACGACGAGUACUAGGUGU